CAGCACAAGCUAAACCGCACAUACCAGCCCCGAAAGAAGCUAUCUACACCUUGACUACAACACCACCCACGAGACACCUAUCCUUUCAUAGAAUAGCACUAGAAAAAUUCCAGCAACUCCACACGAAGGAUUUCCACCUUACCAACUAAGGUAGUUUACUUUGCACACUUCAUGGCUGGGAAAGACCCAUGCAAACUCCCCGG
rnacentral:lncRNA from 1 species